UACGGGGGGAGCAAGCGUUGUUCGGAUUUACUGGGCGUAAAGGGCGCGUAGGCGGUCACGACAAGUCAGUUGUGAAAUCUCCGGGCUUAACUCGGAACGGUCAUCUGAUACUGUCGGACUAGAGUGCAGAAGGGGCAACUGGAAUUCCCGGUGUAGCGGUGAAAUGCGCAGAUAUCGGGAGGAACACCAAUGGCGAAGGCAGCUCGCUGGGACGUUACUGACGCUGAGACGCGAAAGCGUGGGGAGCAAACAGG
rnacentral:rRNA from 1 species